rnacentral:tRNA from 1 species
GCCAGAGUGCUGAAAUCGGUAGACAGGCACGGCUUAGGACCGUGUGCCCUAAUAAGGCAUGGAGGUUCGACUCCUCUCUCUGGCA